rnacentral:lncRNA from 1 species
GUGCUGCAAAUAUUGCAUUGGAAUUAGUUGGAAGAUAUGGUGAGUUGUUGACUUUGGAGUUCUUGAACUGUGAAGAUUCUCCUUAGGCUUUGCUGGAAAACCAGAAGCCUUCUUAAGCGAAAUCACCUUCAACUUUUGGCAAAGCUGGGUAUAUUAUUCUUGCAAUUGAUACCAACAGGGAUGCAUCAGAUAAUGGGAUAUAAGGAGGUAUUAAAUGGAAUAUUGGACUACUUGCUAUAGGUAAAAUUAAAUGGUGGUGGAGACGCGGAGGACAUCACCAGGGGAGGUAAGCAAAGAUGCGGAGGACAAUACCAGGGGAGGCAAUUUCUGCUUUUCCGGUUGGAAGUAAGAUGUGAAGACGUUGGUUUGGGUUGCAAGUAUGAAGACAUCGGUUCGGAAAGUUAUUGUAUAUUACUUUCAUCUUUAGAGAUAUAUGUAUUUGUGUUACUUUGAAACUUUUGUAAUUUUGUGUUACUUUGAAACCGUUUGUAAUUUAUAUUCUUGGGUUAAUUUAUAUUGGUUU